rnacentral:rRNA from 1 species
CUCAGGACGAACGCUGGCGGCGUGCUUAACACAUGCAAGUCGAGCGAUGAAGUUUCUUCGGAAAUGGAUUAGCGGCGAACGGGUGAGGAACACGUGAAGAAUCUGCCCUCCACUUUGGGAUAACACCGGGAAACCGGUGCUAAUACCGAAUAUUGAAACAUAAGUGGCAUCACUGAGUUUUGAAAGAAUUUCGGUGGAGGAUGACUUCGCGGCCUAUCAGCUAGUUGGUGAGGUAAUGGCUCACCAAGGCAACGACGGGUAGCCGGCCUGAGAGGGCGACCGGCCACACUGGGACUGAGACACGGCCCAGACUCCUACGGGAGGCAGCAGUGGGGAAUAUUGGGCAAUGGAGGAAACUCUGACCCAGCGACGCCGCGUGCGGGAUGAAGGCCUUCGGGUUGUAAACCGCUUUCAGUAGGGAAGAAGCGAAAGUGACGGUACCUACAAAAGAAGCACCGGCUAACUAUGUGCCAGCAGCCGCGGUAAUACAUAGGGUGCAAGCGUUGUCCGGAAUUAUUGGGCGUAAAGAGCUCGUAGGUCGUUUGUUACGUCGGAUGUGAAAACUUGAGGCUCAACCUCAGGCCUGCCUUCGAUACGGGCAAACUAGAGUUUGGUAGGGGAGACUGGAAUUCCUGGUGUAGCGGUGGAAUGCGCAGAUAUCAGGAGGAACACCAAUGGCGAAGG